rnacentral:sRNA from 4 species
CCGGAAAGCUUUCAGCUUUAAGCCAGUUAUUAAAACCCCUUUUGAUUUGUUAAAACAUCUUGCGGUCUGGCAACUGCAAAAGUUCAACAAGAAAUCAAAAG